ACUAAAAGCCCAAACAGCUUGACGAGGUUCCGACCCCUUACUACAAGUUGGAAGAAAAGCAAGGUGACGGCCAGCCACAAAUAAGAAUUGCUAAGUGGACAAGCAUUGUACAGCGACAAAUAAUGCGGAAUGAAGGUAACAAAAGGGCAAACGAUCACACAAGCGAAAUGGCAGCACAAUUAGUCAGCAACAUGAACGGCGGCGCUCAACAAGAACAGAAAAAAAGAAAGAUGGAAGGCAUGUACUAGUACUUCAAUUAAAUAAGCUGGCAAGACAGCUUUGGUUACACGAAGGUUCAAAAUUUUGUCUGUUUAAUAUGUUAACGCAGCUACUUACGCUCGGCCUUUCUUUUCUCUUUUUUUUUUUUUUUUUUUUUUUUUUUGACCGGGCCCUGCGUGCAUGUGCGACGUAUUCUCGAGGGCUGACCCUUCGCGAUGACUCACCCUCUUUUCGGCGUUUCGACUGUUGAGUUCAAGGUCGCUGGGCGGCGGCUGCCCCCCUGCUGGCAACUGGGCAGCCGCAUUCCGACAGAAGCAGGCGUGUAGCAAGGCUGUGGUGACAUCCCGGAGGGUGAGGGCGGGAGGGAGAGGGCAGUGCCACCGGUGGUCUGAAUCAAUUCCUGCCAGGUGUUGCUUUGUCACGUGAUGCGCAGUCAUGCGUUACGUCGUCAAAGUACUGCCGCAUUGCGAUACCGGCGUAGAACCAUGCCUAAACUACAAACUUGGCGUUCGUCCGGUAGCAGUAGUAGUAAUUGUAGUUGCGGCGGCAGCAGUAUUCGUAGUGUAGUGGUCGCUGUAGCAGUAAAGUAGCAGCGGUAGUAAGUAGACUUUACAGGUAAACUGAAUCUUUUGACGUCGCACCUAAUCUUGGAAUCAUCCCGAAAUACUCCUCAACAGUGAUCGCUUCAUCGAAGCUCUGCUUUUGCAAUCUUUCGAUAAACUGCACCAUACUUCUGCAAGUUUCUGUAAACAUGGGUCGUAGUGCGCGGACGUGGAGGUAUUCUUGCCUAAUGGGUACUCAACAGCGCCUUGUGUGUCUACUCCCCCUUCUUUUUCUGUGUGUCUGUGCCUUCCAUAGGGGCACUACUUUUAACUAAGUCAUUAAGUAGGUACCUAAGGCCCUGACUGCCAUAACCCCUCCCUACCCAUUAUUUUUUUUUUUGGCUAAAUGCCUACCUAACGAUACAAACAGUGCAGUACAUUGAGAAAAAUCACCAAAUCACGUCAUCGAAACGCAAGUAGCGUUGCCUGAUAAGAGUAAAAAGAAAAAGAAGCCUGAUGUUUCGACUCCUCACCUCACCCCCCCCUCUUCCCCCCACCCCCGCCUUUUUUUUUUCUUGCAUGUUUCGCUGUGUGGCAGAACGCCUUGCGUCAUCAGGUUUGGCACGCAUUCUCCGGCCUUUUAUAUAGCCGCUCCGCGUCGAAGUGCGCCUUUACGACUUUCUUUUCCUUUCUUUCUUUCUUUCUUUCUUUUUUUCUUUCUUCGGCUUUCUCUUCUUUCAAUUUCCCAGUCCGUGGCGGUGGAACAUACAUCAACGACGUGUCGAGCUUGGCACAGGUAUUAUUGAGUGGUUGGCCGCGCUUAGUCUGUAUAGGCGAGAGGAUGAGGAGGGGGGGGGUGGGGGGAGGGUUAUAUAGUCUACAGGGCGUUGCGUGCUCAGCACGGACGGCAUCCACGCGGCGUGACCUAUAAAGAAAUGAAAACGAGGAAGAAAAAAGAACACCAAAGGCUGAAAAGGACAGGAAGCCGGUACGAGAGGAAGAUGAGGCAUUCCGUGGCGGGCCAUAUCUUUGGAACGCCAGACGCUCGUAUAGCUAAAGCCAAGACUAUCCACUGGACUGCGCCGUGUAGCUAUAUGUUUAAGGGACGUUAAGUACGAGUACUAACCACCGUAUUCACAAACCAUCCUCACCCUUAUCUUUAGUGUUCCUUACCUUUCCGGCUCCUUAACGCGUUUCAAGGAUGGACCUUGCCCUCAGCGGCCCCCUCAAGCCCAACUUAAGUUCGCGACGUGGGAGCCUCCUUAUGGUAGCAUCUCAGGUGCCUUAACGGUGCUUGAAGGGUAAAUUGCACUUCUGGUGAUAUCGAAAUGUACAAACUUACCGAGAGAUGAGGCAUAGUUUAGCCAAA